CAUCGUGGGCAACAUCCUGCUGCUGUACAGCUGCAGCUGUCGGGACUUGCAGAACAAGCUUGCGCUGGUGCAGAGCAUCACUGACUUCAGCUCUGCCUUCCAUGCUGUGGGUGGCUCCGCCUGCUUUAACACCUCCUUGAAGGGCAAGCUGCUGGAGAUCCUGAUGGGCUUGCUGAGGAAGUAUU